UGGAGACACAGGCCCCAUCCUUCCCAAUGGGGACACUUCAGGGAGUGGCUCUCAGGUCCCGAGAAAGACCUUCCUGGCCACAGGAGACACACAGACAUCAGGAAGGGACAGAGGAAGGAUGUGCAGUUGCAGCCUUUUCAGCAGAUGCUCUGAGAAUGGGAGGUCAAGAGUUGGAGCAAACGGUCAGUUCUGACAGGGCCUCAGACCUAAGGCAGGAGCACCCCCUACACCAGACCUCCUGGGUCACAGGAAAUGCACAGACAUCGGGAAGGGACGGAGGAUGGACGGAGGAAGGACGUGCAGUUGCAGCUCUUUCUGCAGAUGCCCUGAGAGAGGAGCAAGAAGGUCCUUGCCAGAUGCUCCUGGACUUGCUUUGGACUUUCCCUUGCUCUUGGACUUGCUCUGGCACCUUGCUCUUGGACUUCACAGCCUCUAGAACUGUGAGAAAUAAAUUUCCGUUCAGUAUAAACUUCCCAGUCUUGGGUGUUCUAUUACAACAUCACAAAACAGUCUAAGACAACCCCGUAUUCAGACCUAAGGUGAGAUAACCCCUACCCAUAUCUAAGGAUCCCCUGCUCCAGAUCUUAGUGGUGAGGUCAAUACAGGACUCCCUCUGAGGGAAGCCCUGACAGCAGUGCCUGGGAAGGCAUCUGUAGGGCCCAGUGGGCCGGGGAGGCCCAGGACACACCUACAUCAUCUCUCAUAAUCCCUCCAUUCUGUUAUAACAGGAGCAUAUGCUUAUAGCAUACUUUAAAAAUCAGCCCAAAACUGAAGGUAAGCAUCAGUUAAUUGAUGGACUCCUUUUCACGGUUUGGUCUUUGUAUUUACACCACAGUCAUCUCACAGUGUGUGUUGAGCUUUGCACCCUUUUAUCAAAUGAGGUCACCCCAUGAAUGCUGGCUGUCACGUUAUCACAGAUAU